CGGGCAACCUGCCCCUCUCUCUGGGAUAACCCCGGGAAACCGGAGCUAAUACCGGAUACUCCGGCUGGAUCGCAUGGUCCGGCCGGGAAAGGUCCGCCGGAGAGGGAUGGGCCCGCGGCCUAUCAGCUAGUUGGUGAGGUAAUGGCUCACCAAGGCAACGAUGCGUAGCUGGUCUGAGAGGACGAUCAGCCACACUGGGAUUGAGACACGGCCCAGACUCCUACGGGAGCA
rnacentral:rRNA from 1 species